GGAAAUCCAAAGUUUUCCGGCAAUCUUUACACCGUGAUAGCAUCUUUAUGUAGAAUAUUCUAGAUACUUCCGGGCACUAUAGCUGAAAAAGCAAUAAUUGACGGUAGCUGGAAAAGAUGGCAAACAAUAAUUCCAGGUAGCACCGUAAGCAAAGUAGAUGACAGACAUGGUGGACAUGGGUCGGCGACGUACGUACCUUUUUUCUGGGUAAUAUUUGGUCUGAUGAGACUUUUGGUGGGACAGCUAUUGUCAAAAUCAAUAAUCUGGAUCGUUCUUUAAAUUAAUCAGGCAGAUCGAUCUGCCGGCAUCGUCGAUCAUGCAACGGAGAUGAGAUCCAGGUAGACAACCCACUAUUUCUUUUUACGUUUCGUUUUCUCCACUUCCCAGUUCUCUAUAUUCCCAUCUAUAUAUCUGACAUCUAAUCCGACCGGCAUUUAUCAUUCGCCGGAGAUAAAAUCCACGUAGACAAACCACUAAAUCUUGGUCAAUUAAUUCCUAAUCGUUAUCCUUUCGAUCGGCAUUAUCUGUUUUUUUUAUGUUGAUGUCAUUUGAGAACAGAGACGACGACGAAUUGAGGAUGGAGACAACGACGACGAUUUGAGGAUGGAGACGACGGUAACAUACACAACAUUUAAGACUUAUCACGGAUUUAUCAAAUCAAUUUUAUAACUAAAUGUUAUGGGUAAUCGGAUAAGAUGUAACGGACAAUCAGGGAAAAUGUUAUGAGUUUCAUCACAUAAUAAUUGUUUUGGUAAGUAUUUUUUGCUUUUUAAGCCAUCUAAGGUG
rnacentral:lncRNA from 1 species